GUGGCGAACGGGUGAGUAACACGUGAGCAAUCUGCCCUUGACUCUGGGAUAACUGCGGGAAACUGUAGCUAAUACUGGAUACGACACCUUGGGGCAUCCCAGGGUGUGGAAAGAAUUUCGGUCAAGGAUGAGCUCGCGACCUAUCAGCUAGUUGGUGAGGUAAAGGCUCACCAAGGCGACGACGGGUAGCCGGCCUGAGAGGGUGACCCCCCACACUGGUACUGAGACACGGACCAGACUCC
rnacentral:rRNA from 1 species